rnacentral:rRNA from 1 species
GGCGGCCACCGCUAUUGGAAUACGAUUAAGACAUGCGAGUCGAGAGACGUAAGGUCUCGGCGGACCGCUCAGUAACACGUGGAUAACAUGCCCUAAGGUGGGGGAUAAUCUCGGGAAACUGAGGGUAAUACCCCAUAGGUCUGAUAUGCUGGAAUGCUUUCAGGCCGAAAACUCCGGUGCCUUAGGAUUGGUCUGCGGUCUAUCAGGCUGUAGUGGGUGUAAUGGACCCACUAGCCCGUGACGGAUAUGGGCCUUGAGAGAGGGAGCCCAGAGAUGGACUCUGAGACAUGAGUCCAGGCCCUACGGGGCGCAGCAGUCGCGAAAACUUCGCAAUGGGGGCAACCCCGACGAGGGAAUUCCAAGUGCCAGCACUUUGUGUUGGCUGUUCUCCUGUCUAAAAAACAGGAGGAGUAAGGGGCGGGUAAGACGGGUGCCAGCCGCCGCGGUAAUACCCGCGCCCCUAGUGGUGGUCGAUAUUAUUGAGCCUAAAACGUCCGUAGCCGGUCUUCUAAAUCCUUGGGUAAAUCGGACAGCUUAACUGUCCGAAUUCCGGGGAGACUGGGAGACUUGGGACCGGGAGAGGUCAGAGGUACUUCUGGGGUAGGGGUAAAAUCCUGUAAUCCUGGAAGGACCACCGGUGGCGAAGGCGUCUGACUAGAACGGAUCCGACGGUGAGGGACGAAGCCCUGGGGCGCAAACGGGAUUAGAUACCCCGGUAGUCCAGGGUGUAAACGCUGCGGGCUUGGUGUUGGGGGUCCUUAGUGGGCGCCCAGUGCCGGAGAGAAGUUGUUAAGCCUGCUGCUUGGGGAGUAUGUCCGCAAGGAUGAAACUUAAAGGAAUUGGCGGGGG